rnacentral:rRNA from 1 species
UUAAAAUUUGGUUAUGGUUUUUUAGUUAAUUAUUUUAUUUAAUUAUAUGGGUGCUAUUAAAAAUAAUUUAUUCCAGUAAAAAAAAUUAUGUUAUAACAUAAUUGUUGAGUUAGAAAAUAAAUAAUAAUAUAAUAGGUUAAUAUUUGUGCCAGCAUUCGCGGUUAGACAGUUUAUUAAAGUUAAUUUUAUUUUUUGUUAGUUUAGUAUCAAAAUUAUAAGAUUUUAUUUUAAUUUUAUUUAGGUGGAAUUUAUAUUUUUAUAAUUUAAUUUCUUUAUUACUAUUUAAGAAAUUUCAUAUUAAAACUAGGAUUAGAUACCCUAUUAUUUGUUAUUUAAAUAAAAUCAUUAGAAUGGUAUUAGUUAUGAUCUCUUAAGCUCAAAUAACUUGGCGGUAAAAUAUCUGUAUAGAGGAACCUGUACAUUAAUUGAUAAUCCACGAUAAACUAUACUUUGUAAAUAGUAUUUGUAUAUCUCUAUAUUUUGGAAUGUUUUGUUAAAAUAUUUUCUUUUUCUUGAGGUUAUUUUAAGAUUUAUGUUAGGUCAAGAUGCAGUUUUUAUAAAGUUUUUAUGGGUUACUUUAAUUUUAAAAUAUUUUAGGAAUUAUUUAAUAUUUUAAAUUGUUAAUUAGGAUUUAUUAGUAAUUUCAAUUAAUUAAUUGUUAUGAAUAUGCACUGUUUUAUGCACAUAUCGCCCGUCACUCCUAACUUAAGUUAGGAUAAGUCGUAACAAAGUAAUUUUAUCGGAAGAUGAAGUUAGAAUUUA